UCCCUGGUAAUCCAGUGGUGAAGACUCUGUGCUCCCAAUGCAGGGGGCUCGGGUUUGAUCCCUGGUCAGGGAA
rnacentral:tRNA from 1 species